rnacentral:rRNA from 1 species
CCUACGGGAGGCAGCAGUAGGGAAUAUUGCUCAAUGGGGAAAACCCUGAAGCAGCAACGUCGCGUGGAGGAUGACUGUUUUCGGAGUGUAAACCUCUUUUGUUAGAGAAGAUAAUGACGGUAUCUAACGAAUAAGCACCGGCUAACUCCGUUCCAGCAGCCGCGGUACUACGGAGGAUGCAAGCGUUAUCCGGAAUCACUGGGCGUAAAGAGCGCGUAGGCGGGUUAGCAAGUCAGAUGUGAAAUCCUAUGGCUUAACCUUAAAAUUGCAUUUGAAACUGUUAGUCUAGAGUAUGGGAGAGGUAGGCGGAAUUCUUGGUGUAGGGGUAAAAUGCGUAGAGAUCAAGAGGAAUCCUGAUUGCGAAGGCAGCUUACUAAACUGUGACUGACAUUGAUGCGCGAAAGUGUGGGGAUCAAACAGGAUUAGAUACCCUUGUAGUC